CAUUGGUAGUUCCUACGUUAUCGACAUUAAUAUUUACAUACACUCUGGUCCGUUGUUUAUAUCGUUGUCCAUAUUAUUAUUCCAUUAUUUAUCCCAAUAAAUGAACAUUGAAUGCUUCGAAGUUACAGUUUAUUAAGCAUCAAUGGGUACAUUCGUUUUUUUUUCGAGCACGGAGGAAUACUUGUGUGCAGUGUUCUAUCACCUUGCAUUCUGACAAGUAGAAAGGGUUAUGGUUGAUUACAAUCAUUAGCAAAAAAUUUACUAAUGAUUUGCACCAGGAGAAGGUCCGCCGAUGUUGGCACAUGCCGAGUGAUUUCUCUCUUCGAGGGAGAAAUUGGCAAUCAGAUUAAAGUCAGAAGACCGACGAAGAUGAUUCAUAAACAUGCCCAAUUCGUAGGAAAUUCAUUUGUGCGGAAAUUGUCAAUGUAUUCGACGACAGCCUGAAUCGCAUCAGACUCCGCCACGCAACACAGCCUCGGCAUGAUAUGAUUCGUUUCUCGUACAUCUGUAAAUUAUGACUUUUUAGAAAAUUAUUUUAUGCCAUUUUCCCAACGAUAAAAUAUGAAUUUGAACAUUACCCAACUAUUUUUUUAAUGAACAUUGACACACCCCAUAACGAUGACGACAAACAACAAACAUCAACAAAAGCACAUGUGUUACCCGCACAACAAUAUUCAUUCCUUCAGUUUGCCAUUCUAAUCAGCGACUUAAUUUCUGUUCAGGUAUACUCUUCAAUGCAAUAAUGACAUGCUAUGAACUUUUCAUCCGGACUACGAAUAUUCAAAAAAUCCCAAUAUUUCCAAUACAGAAUAGAUGCUCAAUCGAAGAUUAUGAGAGGGUUAUCCUCGUAGUCUCCCACACCCGUGUCUAUAGAAAUGCUUGUGGGGGCUAUUCUCCAAUGAAAUAUUUUCGCAAAGAUUAUUCAGUGGAAGUGGGAACCCACACCACGAACCCGUCACACUUUUGGACGAAAUGGAAUGAAAUAUGAAUAUAUUGCGGACAUCAACCAAUUUUAUUUAUAGUGGAAAGAUCAAAAACAAUUCCAAAAGAUCUGUUCAAUGUGAAUCGAUGCUUCCAGGCCCCAUAGAUCAUUUCCUGUUAUCUCAGUGUCUGUCAUCGUUGAAUACAAAUAACAAAUUUCUGAAUAUUUCUUUGAAAAUUUAGUCAAUCAAUUAGGCAAAUUAAAAAUAAAAGAAAAAAAAAUUAUGCAAAUUGAGGUUAUGACGAACUUCGAAACUUUUAUUAGACGUAUCUGAAAGAAAAGUUAUGAAGUUCUCAGGUUAUGGACUAUAGUCUCGAAGAGAAUUUUAUGGAAUAUUGUAAUCAAGAGAAGAAAUUUGAUAGGAAUCAUGCUUGGAUAAUUGGAAUCCUUACAACACCUGGAGGAUAGGUAGUAGCAUUAAUAUACAGGAAUAUGGAAUGUGAAAAAUCGUAAUGAGCGGUGCUUUCGGUUACUACGGAUAAUGCAAAAUAAAUUUAUUAAAUAAUGAUAGCCCAAUUAAAUUCCCAUGCCAAUUCAAAUUUAUAUUAUUCUCAAAUAUGACUCAUAAGUGGAAAGGCCUCUAAGUAAGAUCACUCACAAAUGCAAAUUAUUCUUGAAAAUGAAGCCAUUAUCAAUGCAAAUAUUGAUAAAUAUUGUUGGCAGCCAUUAGUUAUCCAGAUGACCUGAAAAAUAAAGUUCCAAUAAGUAAUGCCCAACGACAGAUCUAUUUACAGAAUUAUUGAUGUCCUUACUUUUGACAUGAGAACGAAUUUCCAUCUGGUUGUUUUCCAAUUGAGCAUGGGAACUUCGGAUUGUGAUUCAUUUGGAUGAGAAACGUACGUACACUCCACAAUCCCUAAUAUUGAUUCCUCAAGUCGUUUUCGUCCAUUUAGCGAAUCAAGUAGCUAUCAAAAUUUACAUAAAUUGAUUAGUCAGGAAAUUUUUGGGAAAUGGAUUCUACAUUUAUGAAAGAACUUACUUGCAAAUUCCCAAUGGACUUUCCCUGAGAUACAAUUGUUUUGUUGUUUAACCUCAUUUCCUCUGUAACAAGUUGCACACUCUUGGUAGCACGAGGAAAAAAACAUCAUUGUAGAUAUUGAUUCAAAAACAAUUCAAAUACUCACCCGUGAGAAACAUAAUGUAGCAAAUAUUCAAGAUCAAAAUAUCGGCAACGAUUAACAAAUGAUAAUUACUAUUCGAGAAUAGAAAAGUCGACCAGCACGUGUAACACUGAAUAAUCACGAAUGGAGCAGCUUUGCUCCGCAGAAUAGCACAUCGUUCCAACUCUUGUAGCAUCUUUGUAUGGAAAAUAUGAAUUUCCUUAGAAUGAAAAUGAAUUUUUACUGAAUAAAUUUCAAUAUGAUAA